rnacentral:rRNA from 1 species
AAGGAUCAUUGUCAAAACCUGCCCAGCANAGCGACCCGCGAACGAGUGAAAACAUGCACGUGCGGUUCGAGGAGGAGAACGCCCCCGAUCGUACGUCCGUCGGAGCACAGUCCCCCCGCCGCGGUCACGCCAAAAGGGGGACCACAGGGCGGGCUGGUGUGUCCGGACUAAACCAAAAACCGGUGCUACAGGCGCCAAUGAAAUCUUAGCGGAAACAGGGGGUUCCACUAUUUGCGGUCGGGACAUUCGGGAUCCGAUACUCGAACGACUCUCGACAACGGAUAUCUCGGCUCUUGCAUCGAUGAAGAACGUAACAAAAUGCGAUACUUUGUGUGAAUUGCAGAACCCCGUGAACCAUCAUUCUUUGAACGCAAGUUGCGCCCGAGGCCACUUGGUCGAGGGCACGUCUCCCUGUGCGUCACACACAGCGUUGAACCCCGACAACCACGUUGUCGGGGAGUGGAAAUUGGCCCCCCGGGCCCUUUAGGGCACGGUCGGCACAAAUGUUGGUCCCCGACGGCGAACGUCGCGGUCAACGGUGGUUGUACUACCCACCCCCGAAGACAUCAAGACGCGCUGCUCCGCUGCACGACGGGACAAACGACCCCACGGAACCGCCUCGCGCGGUGUCCACCCUGCGACCCCAGGUCAGGCGGGACUACCCGCUGAGUUUAA